rnacentral:rRNA from 1 species
AUUGAACGCUGGCGGCAGGCUUAACACAUGCAAGUCGAGCGAGCGGCGGACGGGUGAGUAAUGUCUGGGAAACUGCCUGAUGGAGGGGGAUAACUACUGGAAACGGUAGCUAAUACCGCAUACCAUCAGAUGUGCCCAGAUGGGAUUAACUAGUAGGUGGGGUAAUGGCUCACCUAGGCGACGAUCCCUAGCUGCUCUGAGAGGAUGACCAGCGGCACUCGAGCUGAGACACGUUCCAGACUCCUACGGGAGGCAGCAGUGGGGAAUAUUUGACAAUGGGCGCAAGCCGGAUGCAGCCAAGCCGCGUGUAUGAAGAAGGCCUUAGGGUUGUAAAGUACUUUCAUCGGGGAGGCGUUACCCGCAGAAGAAGCACCGGCUAACUCCGUGCCAGCAGCCGCGGUAAUUC